CAGCAGCCGCGGGAAUACGUAGGGCGCAAGCGUUGUCCGGAAUUAUUGGGCGUAAAGAGCUCGUAGGCGGUCUGUCGCGUCUGCUGUGAAAACCUGAGGCUCAACCUCGGGCUUGCAGUGGGUACGGGCAGACUAGAGUGCGGUAGGGGUGACUGGAAUUCCUGGUGUAGCGGUGGAAUGCGCAGAUAUCAGGAGGAACACCGAUGGCGAAGGCAGGUCACUGGGCCGCAACUGACGCUGAGGAGCGAAAGCAUGGGGAGCGAACAGGAUUAGAUACCCGAGUAGUCCCUGUCUCUUAUAC
rnacentral:rRNA from 1 species